GUGUGCAUAGGAGCGGACCCGGAGUGUCUCUGCUACACCUUCACACUAAGCUGAGCUCGAAGCAUCAAGGGCCGAGCAGCAGAGGAUGGCUGAGCGGUUGGAGGCUCAAGAGCACCAGCGAGAGGCCGACCAGCUUGCCCAUGAGCAACAGAUGGCAGAAAUGAUAGCGUUCCUGCAGUCGGUUGGGGCCCAGACGGGUGUAGCCCUGCCAGCUACGCUACUGGCUCCACGUCAACCCUCUCAUGUAUUUACUACUCCUAUUAAUACUCCUCCUCCGUCGGUGGGUUCGAACGUGGCACCUGUUAUUUCUCCAACACCUGGCAUCUCGCCGACUCCUCCAGAUGGUGGCUCUCCUGCGGUACGCGGCCUAGGUGUCCCUCAUAUCAACUGGGGGCCUUCACAGUGAUGCACUUAUUUUUUUUAAACAUGUGAACUUUGUGGAUUGUGGUUAUUGAACAUGUUGGACUUAGUUUGGAUGUAUGUGAACUUAGUUUGGAGUAUUUGAACUUGUUAUGAUGGAGAAAGUGAUGGAAAUGAUAAUUUAUGUGGAUUGUGGUAUAUAUUGUUAUCGAUGUCGAAUAUGUGAGCUACAGGCUCUUUGAAGUGAAAUAUGUGAUUUUUUGAAAAUAUAUGUGUCAUAUGAUCAGUUCAGUG